rnacentral:rRNA from 1 species
GACGAACGCUGGCGGCGUGCUUAACACAUGCAAGUCGAACGGAAAGGCCCUGCUUUUGUGGGGUGCUCGAGUGGCGAACGGGUGAGUAACACGUGAGUAACCUGCCCUUGACUUUGGGAUAACUUCAGGAAACUGGGGCUAAUACCGGAUAGGAGCUCCUGCUGCAUGGUGGGGGUUGGAAAGUUUCGGCGGUUGGGGAUGGACUCGCGGCUUAUCAGCUUGUUGGUGGGGUAGUGGCUUACCAAGGCUUUGACGGGUAGCCGGCCUGAGAGGGUGACCGGCCACAUUGGGACUGGGAUACAGCCCAGACUCCUACGGGAGGCAGCAGUGGGGAAUAUUGCACAAUGGGCGGAAGCCUGAUGCAGCAACGCCGCGUGCGGGAUGACGGCCUUCGGGUGGUAAACCGCUUUCGCCUGUGACGAAGCGUGAGUGACGGUAAUGGGUAAAGAAGCACCGGCUAACUACGUG